rnacentral:rRNA from 1 species
UACAGAGGUCUCAAGCGUUGUUCGGAUUCAUUGGGCGUAAAGGGUGCGUAGGCGGCGCGGUAAGUCGGGUGUGAAAUCUUGGAGCUUAACUCCGAAACUGCAUUCGAUACUGCCGCGCUUGAGGACUGGAGAGGAGACUGGAAUUUACGGUGUAGCGGUGAAAUGCGUAGAUAUCGUAAGGAAGACCAGUGGCGAAGGCGGGUCUCUGGGCCGUAACUGACGCUGAGGAGCGAAGGCAUGGGGAGCGAACAGG